CUUAACCGACUGAGCCACCCAGGCGCCCCCAACUCAUGCUUUUUAAUUUCCACUUUUAUUUAUAAACUGUUCACCUCUGACUACUUGAGUCUAGGCCUUGCGUAGGACACUGGGGACAUGGAUGUACUAGGGAAAACCACAGUCUAGUCCACCAGAGUCUAGUAGAAGGAGACAGACAAGGAAGGAGGCAAGAGGCUAUAUUUAAGCACCCACAGGUAUCAUGGAAGCAAGGAGCUGGUGACAGUCAACUCUGCCACAGAGGAUGAUGGAGAGUUCCUCCAAGGUGGUUAGGCUUGGGAGGAUGACCUAGAUCUUUCCAGGUGAUGGAAUCAAGUGUCCUGUUAGAAGCAAUGUCAUGAACUAGCACCUGGAGGCAUUCAGCACAACAAUCAGGACAGGUGUUUCUGUCAUUGUGUGUUGUAAGAUCCUGAACCACAACUAAUAGGGCUAAUGAAAAAGCUAGGUUGAGAAAGACCCCUCAAAACCUGUGGGACUUUGUAACUGGAACACUAGCCCAAACCAUAAUGAUCCUGAUGAAAAUCCCUCCCCGGUUAAACCUCCACCAUCAUGGGUACCUGUCAUCACAGCCGGUCAAUGCUUGGCAGCCUCAAGGAAGUUUCUGAUCCUUCCUUCAAGAGGUGUACUGCUACCAAGUCUCCUUGAUAUUCUUCUGGACAUUGGAGGCAGUGCUGGGAGGACAGGCCUCUGGGGAAAUGGCCCUGCCUGGAACAUUGGCUUUGCCCUCCCUGGCCUCCGGUGAGGACCAGAAUUCCACUGGCAAGGAGAUGUCUCCUCUCCUUGGUCCAGGGAAGGUGUUCAGCCACGGCGAAUGGAGGACAAAGAAGGCUCCUUUCUCAGCCACUUGGGUCCACAUGUACACUUAACCACAGCUGCUCGCUGCGGCAGACUGGAAACCGCCAGAAAUUCCCUCACCGAGGCCAAUGGGUCUGACAGGCCUGCUUCCCUCCCCUGAAGGUCACAAAGGAUGUGUGAGCAGCUGACCAGGGGCAAGCAGUGUUCCAGAGACUGGCUGCUCCCUUCUUCUGGGCCCAGGAGGAAAGGUCACAGCAGUAGUCUACACCUGACCCAUGACGGACCUGUGGCAUGAGCAAGAAGUAAACCCUGUAGGGGCACCUGGGGAAGUGCAGUCAGUUGAGCGUCUGACU